rnacentral:rRNA from 1 species
UACAGAGGUCCCAAGCGUUGUUCGGAUUCACUGGGCGUAAAGGGUGCGUAGGUGGUCGGGUAAGUCUGAUGUGAAAUCUCCGAGCUUAACUCGGAAAUGGCAUUGGAUACUAUUCGGCUAGAGGGUUUGAGGGGGGACUGGAAUACUUGGUGUAGCAGUGAAAUGCGUAGAUAUCAAGUGGAACACCAGUGGCGAAGGCGAGUCCCUGGAAAACUCCUGACACUGAGGCACGAAAGCUAGGGGAGCAAAC